UACGUAGGGGGCUAGCGUUGUCCGGAAUCAUUGGGCGUAAAGAGCGUGUAGGCGGUCCGGUAAGUCCGCUGUGAAAGUCGGGGGCUCAACCCUCGAAUGCCGGUGGAUACUGUCGGGCUAGAGUACGGUAGGGGCAGAGGGAAUUCCCGGUGUAGCGGUGAAAUGCAUUGAGAUCGGAAAGAACACCAACGGCGAAAGCACUCUGCUGGGCCGACACUGACACUGAGAGACGAAAGCUAGGGGAGCAAAUGGG
rnacentral:rRNA from 1 species